UAAUUUUAUUCUAAGUCAAACAUGUCCAACUUUGACUAAGUUUAUAGAAAAAUACAACAACAACUAUACUACCAAACAUUGAAACAUAUGCACUAUCAAAAUAUAUUCCAUUGUGGAUUCAAUUAAACAAUUUUGGUAUUGUAGAUGUUGUUGGAAUUUUCUAUAAACUUGGUCAAAGUGGCACAUGUUUGACUUAGGACAAACCUAA
rnacentral:pre_miRNA from 1 species